rnacentral:rRNA from 1 species
UACGUAGGGUGCAAGCGUUGUCCGGAAUUACUGGGCGUAAAGGGCUCGUAGGCGGCCCACUAAGUCGGACGUGAAAUCCCUCAGCUUAACUGGGGAACUGCGUCCGAUACUGGAUGGCUUGGAUUUGGGAGAGGGAUGCGGAAUUCCAGGUGUAGCGGUGAAAUGCGUAGAUAUCUGGAGGAACACCGGUGGCGAAGGCGGCAUCCUGGACCAAUAUUGACGCUGAGGAGCGAAAGCCAGGGGAGCAAACGGG